rnacentral:rRNA from 1 species
CCCUUAGACGUUCUGGGCCGCACGCGCGCUACACUGACCGGUGCAACAAGCAUCCGUCCUUGGCCGACAGGCCCGGGCAAUCUUUGAACGCCGGUCGUGAUGGGGAUAGACUUUUGCAAUUUUUGGUCUUCAACGAGGAAUUCCUAGUAAACGCAAGUCAUCAACUUGCAUUGAUUACGUCCCUGCCCUUUGUACACACCGCCCGACGCACCUACCGAUUGAAUGGUCCGGUGAAGCCUCCGGAUUGGCGCGCACCUCGGUGCCGCCGAGAAGUUGGCUAAACCUUACCAUUUAGAGGAAGGUGAAGUCGUAACA